UACGGGGGGGAGCAAGCGUUGUUCGGAUUUACUGGGCGUAAAGGGCGCGCAGGCGGCCACCGCAAGUCGACUGUGAAAUCUCCGGGCUUAACCCGGAAAGGUCAGCCGAUACUGCGGGGCUAGAGUGCAGAAGGGGCAACUGGAAUUCUCGGUGUAGCGGUGAAAUGCGUAGAUAUCGAGAGGAACACCUGCGGCGAAGGCGGGUUGCUGGGCUGACACUGACGCUGAUGCGCGAAAGCUAGGGGAGCGAACGGG
rnacentral:rRNA from 1 species